UACAGAGGUCUCAAGCGUUGUUCGGAUUCAUUGGGCGUAAAGGGUGUGUAGGUGGCGCGCUAAGUCGGGUGUGAAAUUUCGGAGCUUAACUCCGAAACUGCAUUCGAUACUGGCGUGCUUGAGGACUGGAGAGGAGACUGGAAUUUACGGUGUAGCAGUGAAAUGCGUAGAUAUCGUAAGGAAGACCAGUUGCGAAGGCGGGUCUCUGGACAGUUCCUGACACUGAGACACGAAGGCCAGGGGAGCAAACGGG
rnacentral:rRNA from 1 species